CACGUAAAUAUUGUUAUUUUGUGUGUUUUCUUUGUUUUUUUAUAUUUUACAUGCUUCCGCAGUGUACAACAAAUCUGAUAUGUACUCAUUUGGUGUGGUGCUGUUUGAAGUGUUGUGUGUCCGAAAACCACUCGAUCAAAAAUUGGAGCAACAGUGGAAUAUAGCAAAUUGGGCACGAAAAUGCAUCCAGGGUGGGACAAUUCAUCAAAUAGUUGAUCCCUAUCUCAUGGGAAAGAUAUCUUCUGAUUGUUUUAAUAAUAUCGUGGAGAUAGCUGAAAGUUGCGCGCGUGAUAAUGGGAUUGAUUGGCCAUCCAUGCACGAUGUUGUGGAAAAGCUCCAGUUUACAUUGGAGCUGCAACAUGCUGCAGAAGCUGAGAAGAAAGAUGAUGAUUACAUCUUUCCGGUGGCAUCAUUCCGUCCUCCUCAAUACAUCAAUUAUACAACAUUUGGUGAACCUGAGUUGAAAUCAGGUGAUGUAGGUGGAUCAACCGUUGUGGAUACAAAUGAUACUAGCCUGACCUUUCCAACUCUUGGAUCUGGUAGUAUAGCCAGCUUAUGCCUUCUCUGAUACCACCAAUCCGGCAAAGUCAAAAUAGCUUUCAAGCUGUCUUACGAUCUAUAUAUAUAUAUUUUAAAUUUGUCUAUCAAGGGUCCAAUAGCAGUAAGCCUGGGCUACACAACAGAGUAGCUCUUACAUCCUUUUUUUUUUUCAAAAGCCCUUCCAUCCCUUUUCCCUAACCCCAUCCCAUCCAAUGAUUUCACCAAUAUUUGAUGGAUCGAGAGACCCAAGACCCACUUCCCCACAAAAAGUAGCUAGCGAGACCACGCUAUAGGAUGUCCUGUAAUUACCAUGUGUGCUUCUUGUUUUGGCCAAUCUGGGUAUGUUGGUUAUAGCAAACCUGUAAUUUCUAGGUGAUCCAAAUGUUGCGUAGUUGCUGUUCUUUUACCAAAAAUUAAAGUUGAUAGAGAUUAAUCAAGAAACGAUGACGCAAAGCAACUUCAUAUAUCAAGCAAAUGAUAAGAAAUUAAGGAAAAGAAAAAAAAGAAACAAUUAUGGUUUGCCUGUCAAUGAUAAAUUAAAAGUUUUGUGGGUACCUCAAAAUGAUCGUGCUUGAAUUCAAUUUCAAUGUUAUCAUAUAUAGGUCCUUCUUCACACUACAUGAUGAAAUAUAAAUAUUAUAGUUCUAAACAUAAUGAAAUUUAAGCAUAUAAAAUAUUAUGUGAUUAAAAAACAAAGUAUUUGAAUAUUGAUUAAUAAAUUUCAUUUAUAAUCACAUGAUUAUUAUUACUAUUACAUGCAAUUUUUUUUAUUGAAAUUAAAGCUUUCAAAAAUAUGGUUUGCAACUCACAAUUUAACCAAUAACGGUAUAUAAAGAAGAAAUUUUCAAAAAUAUUGAAAAUUUAAUUUAAUUUUUCCUUUAUCAGCAUAUAUAUAUUUCUUAAUAAUUUUUGGGGUAAGGCAUGGUCAAAAUUAACCCCAUUUUCUACCACGUGGUUCGGAAAACAGAUGUUUCAAAGAAUCAGAAGUUUAUAAUUAAUUAAGAAGUUUCGUGUUUCACGUAAAAAGCUAAUGAAAUUGUAUAAACGUGAUAGAAAAUGAGGUAAGGCAAGCUCUUGAUUUUUGGCCUCUUUGGUUGCUUUACUUGAAACAAAUAAUUUACGAUUUAAGUGAGCUGUAGAUUCUUUUUCUUUUGAUUAGUUGAUGUGAAAUGUACCUAACACAAACACAAAUUAAAAUUAAGAAGGUGAUGUCAGAUGUCAAUGUUAAGGCUCAGCAUUCUCAUCAUGACUUAAUCAAGGUGUUUGAUCAGCCACAAAUAUAUAGAGGGAAAGGGAAGGAAGAAAGCACAGAAGGAACGAAGAAGCAGCAGAAAAGGGGGAGAUACAUAGUGUUUGUAGAAUGAAAUAGAGCCUAAGUAUGCUUUCCUAGCAACAAAAGCAAAGCAAAUUCACGCAAUUGAAGAGUCUGAUGUCUUAAACAAGCGGCUAAUUGUAUGGGCUCGCGAUCCACGAAGAGCAGAGAUGGACACCUUACCAGCGUUUUCGAGUUUCAAUCACAAAACGGCUAAACCGUUAAAGCCUGCUAUCAUAGUCAGAAAAUAAAGCCCAAGCCAUUGGCCUCGUAAAACAAUUUUUUUUUUAUUUGUUUAAAACAAUUACUGAUGUUCUUUUACUCUCUUUCACUAGCCCUUUUGCUUGUCUCUGUAGGCAACCUAUCAAUAAUUUGGAGCUAAGGAGUAUAGCUUAUAAAAUCUUCGUCACAUGCUGAUGCUACUCCAUCUUUACAACUAUUGGUGAAUUAUUGGUUACCUGGACCAUUUUGCUUGAAGUAAUGGAUUGCACCACGCAAGAGCCCACCAUGGGAACUUGGGAAGGAUAACGAAAGUGGCCUUUGCUCACAAUCCAUAUGUGGCCUUUGUUCACAAUCCAUAUAUGCUAGUAUACAAAUCCCUGCAAUAAUAACCUUAGCUAAAAAAGAACCAAAUUCAUCAAACUUACUGUUCAAUGGUGUUGCUUCAUCAUCUGUUUGCAGCAUAAAGUCAUGUAUGCUGCCUAUAUCAGUGUUGUACCAACUCCAACAACAUCAGCUCUUUCCAGCCAUCUCUUGUCCAUGGCAGGGUAAAUAAUGUUGAUAUUCAUGUGAAUCUACAUGGUUAGCUGUAUUUUUAUACAUUUUUAUAGAUAACAUAGAAUUUAAUAUGGUUCGACCGUAAGAUCUACGUUCACGGGUAGGACAAUAGAAAAAAUUUCUACUAUGAUGAAAAGAUCAAUAUACAAUCAUUCAGACUCUCAAACCCUAACUUUAGUAUAUUUUUUAAAUAUAUUACAACUUUACC
rnacentral:misc_RNA from 1 species